rnacentral:rRNA from 1 species
UAGUCCACGCCGUAAACGAUCAUCACUCGCUGUUGGCGAUAUACUGUCAGCGGCCAAGCGAAAGUAUUAAGUGAUGCACCUGGGGAGUACGCCGGCAACGGUGAAACUCAAAGGAAUUGACGGGGGCCCGCACAAGCGGUGGAGCAUGUGGUUUAAUUCGAUGAUACGCGAGGAACCUUACCAGGGCUUAAAUGUAGUAUGACCGGCUUGGAAACAGGCCUUCUCUUCGGAGCAGAUUACAAGGUGCUGCAUGGUUGUCGUCAGCUCGUGCCGCGAGGUGUUAGGUUAAGUCCUGCAACGAGCGCAACCCUUAUUCUUAGUUACCAGCACAUAAUGGUGGGGACUCUAGGAAGACUGCCGGCGUAAGCCGUGAGGAAGGUGGGGACGACGUCAAAUCAUCAUGGCCUUUAUGCCUAGGGCUACACACGUGCUACAAUGGUGCAUACAGCGGGUAGCGAAAUCGCGAGGUGGAGCUAAUCUUGUAAAGUGCAUCCCAGUUCGG